rnacentral:rRNA from 1 species
AUUGAACGCUGGCGGCAUGCCUUACACAUGCAAGUCGAACGGUAACGCGGGGCAACCUGGCGACGAGUGGCGAACGGGUGAGUAAUGCAUCGGAACGUGCCUGGUAGUGGGGGAUAACUGCUCGAAAGAGCAGCUAAUACCGCAUACGACCUGAGGGUGAAAGGGGGGGAUCGCAAGACCUCUCGCUAUCAGAGCGGCCGAUGUCGGAAUAGCUAGGUGGUGGGGUAAAGGCCCACCAAGGCAACGAUCCGUAGCUGGUCUGAGAGGACGACCAGCCACACUGGGACUGAGACACGGCCCAGACUCCUACGGGAGGCAGCAGUGGGGAAUUUUGGACAAUGGACGCAAGUCUGAUCCAGCCAUGCCGCGUGCGGGAAGAAGGCCUUCGGGUUGUAAACCGCUUUUGUCAGGGAAGAAAUCUUCUGGGCUAAUACCCUGGGAGGAUGACGGUACCUGAAGAAUAAGCACCGGCUAACUACGUGCCAGCCGCCGCCGUAAGAC